GUUUGAUAUGCCUCUAAGUAGAGUGGUCUAUUCUUUUUCAGUUUGGUGUUAGACAAAAAGCAAAGUAUCCAGUUCUAGGUGCGCUCUAUCACAGGAGGAUGCUAAGGAGAACAUUUUGGACAUCACAAAGCAUUCACUGUCGUAGCAGCAGUUGUCACAUGCCUUCAACAGUAGGAGCCAGCAUGAAGCUUCUCAAAUUUAAAACUAAGGGACAGCCACAGCAUUCAGGGCUUACACUUGGCAUGGAUGUUUCAAUGCUUUUUCAUCUGGAAGAUGCUGGAAUGUCACAGUACGCUGAGAACAAAAUACUGUAGAAAUUGGAGCCCUUCCCUUAACUGAAAUUCCUCUGGAUACUUGCAUAUAUUGUGGUUGCAGUAGACACUGAAGGUAUCUUAAAACAUUUACUGAUGGUCUUAAGCAAGGAACGCUACGGAAACAUUUUUAUGCAACUUUCAUGGAGGAAAAAGUUGCAGAGGAGAGGGAGAAACCUUCUUGUUUCUACGGUGCUUUGAAAAACAACUCUUUAACAAAGAACUGAGACUGAAGAUGUUUGAGAGAUGCAACUAAACUGAUAAAAAAAUCGUGCAUUUUCUUUGCCACAAAGAUGUCAAAGUAUAAAACUCUAGUAUAAUGGCUUCAGGAAUGCCCUCUGUCACUCAGUGUCUUAUUUUCCCCACCUGAUGAAUUAAGAUAAUCAAGUCUUUGCCUUUUCAAGUACUCUGCUCUUCAGUGCUGGGAAGCAUUUAAAUUAGUCUAAAAUAGUAGCAGAAAUACCAAAUUAUGUGAAGUGUGA